AUGUGCUUGAUUUGUUCUGCAGCCCGACUUCAUGUAAUCUUUGAUGUCUUUCUUGUGGGCUUCUUUUGUGAAGCUGGUUUCCUGCAAGUGAUGGUUCAUGACGACAUCGACACUAGUGAUUAUGUGCUUUCGGUACCUUCGCCCUCGGGGCCUUCAGCGGAGGCAUUUCCACCAGUGAGCGAGUCAUCGAUGUUACCCUCUGUCCUACUGACCAUCUUCCCCUCCACCUCCAGACACAGCCCGUCCGCGACCUCCCGGAUCUUAUAGAUGUUGGGGAACAUCUCGUCAUGGCUAAUGAGGUCCCGGUAGACGAUCAUGAUGGCGGCUGGAGGGAGGCGACAGCGGCGCUGGCUUAGCAGGAGCCCGGAGCUAGGACAAAUGUUCCCAUGGGGAUUCCCCCGGAUUCCUUUCUGUCCUUGGCUGCUCGUCUGGUGGUCUCAUCAGCCAGCCUAUUUCCUUGAGUCUGUGGGGUGUCUUCCUUCUGGUGCCCAUGGCAGUGCAUGACUGCUACCUCCGUGGGGCUCCAGACAGUGUCUAGCAGGGUCAGGAUCUCCUCCUUAUUCUUAAUGUCCUUUCCAUUGGCUGUUAGAAGGCCUCUCUCCCGGUAUAGCGCCCCAUGUACAUGGAGUGUAGCGAAAGCAUACGGGGAGUCGGUGUAGACAUUCACUCUCUUACCAUUUGACAACUGCAGUGCCUGGACUAAGGCGCAUAACUCUGCUUCUUGGGCUGCCCAGUGCUGUGGUAAGGAGCCGGCCUCGAUAACAGUCCUCUGUAACUACAGCAUAGCUUGACAGUUGCUGUCCUAGCUUCAUCAGACUGGUGCCAUCAGUAUACAGAGUCCAGUCAGGAUUUGAAAUUGGCCUGUCUCAGAGGUCUGGACGGCUAGCAUAGACCUCCUCUAAGACUUCCUUGCAAUCGUGGGUAGGCCCACCUUCUCCCUUUGGGAGAAGCGUUGCUAGGUUUAAACCCUGGCAAAGCUCGAUACGGAGGUUGGGGUUUUCACAUAGCAGUCCCUGGUAUUGAAUAAUCCGGGAACUUGACAGCCAUUUGUGGGGGUCUCCUAGAAGGAGGGAGUUGACUUUAUGUGGGACUUUUACGAUCAGGUCCUGGCCAAAAGUCAGCUUUGUGGCUUCACGUACCAGUAAGGCGGCCGCGGCCACCGCCCGCAGAGAGCCAGGCCAACCGGUGGUGGCAACGUUAUCAAGUCGCUUUGAAAGGUAAACUACUGGCCUGUCCCUCGUUCCCAAGGUCUGAGUCAAAACCCCCAUGGCUGUUUUAUCUUUCUCGGUCACAUAUAAGGUGAAUGGUUUGGUGAGGUCUGGCAAUCCCAAGGCGGGGGCGGAGGUGGUUGCUAGUCUUAGCUCCUCAAAGCCUUCCUGCUGUUUCUCAGACCAACUUACUGAAUUUUCUUCAGGCCCUGUCAGGAGCUCAAAUAGGGGCUGGGCUAUUUGAGAAUACCUUGGAAUCCAAAUCCUGCAGAAUCCAGUGGCCCCUAGGAACUCCCUGACUUGCCGCCGAGUCUUAGGCGUGAGGAGCCUCAGAAUUACUUCCUUUCUAGAUUGGUCUAGUAACCUUGUGCCUUCCCUUAAGACAAACCCCAAAUACCUUACCUC
ensembl:lncRNA